rnacentral:pre_miRNA from 1 species
AAGAACAGUAAAGUGGUGUCACUGUCCUAAGUACUAGCGCCGCAGGAGUGUGGUUUAAGUGUCACCCCUGCAGCCUUGGUGCUUAACACAGGACAUUCUCAGAUCACCAA